GACGAACCGUGCGAACGUUAUUCGGAUUCACUGGGCUUAAAGGGCGCGUAGACGGACGACCGCGUCGACGGCUGAAAGCCCCCGGCUUAACCGGGGAACGGGCCUCGAUACGGGUCGUCUCGAGUGGAGGAGGGGGACCUGGAACUUCCGGUGGAGCGGUGAAAUGCGUUGAGAUCGGAAGGAACGCCGGCGGCGAAAGCGAGGUCCUGGACUCCGACUGACGUUGAGGCGCGAAAGCCAGGGGAGCGAACGGG
rnacentral:rRNA from 1 species